GGGGAAUCUUGCGCAAUGGGCGACAGCCUGACGCAGCAACGCCGCGUGCGGGAUGACGGCCUUCGGGUUGUAAACCGCUUUCAGCAGGGACGAAGGGUUUCUGACGGUACCUGCAGAAGAAGCACCGGCUAACUACGUGCCAGCAGCCGCGGUGAUACGUAGGGUGCGAGCGUUGUCCGGAAUUAUUGGGCGUAAAGAGCUUGUAGGCGGUCCGUUGCGUCGGAAGUGAAAACUCGGGGCUUAACCCCGAGCCUGCUUUCGAUACGGGCGGACUUGAGGGAUGUAGGGGAGAACGGAAUUCCUGGUGGAGCGGUGGAAUGCGCAGAUAUUGGGAGGAACACCAGUGGCGAAGGCGACUUUCUGGACUACAACUGACGCUGAGGCACGAAAGCGUGGGGAGCAAACA
rnacentral:rRNA from 1 species